CCUCAGCCAAGCCAUCGUCUGAUGUAAGCUUAAGUCACGUGUGGAGGGUUAAUGUCUUCAGACUGGUCUGUUCAGCUGGAGUGAUUGUGAGUGCUGCUCUAGUGCUCACCGCUACGUACGCAUUCAAUAGAAAAGUUGGCAGAGAUAAAGGAGCAGACGCUGAGGAUUGUGGGUUAAAGAUUGAUCAGUCAUCUCCCAGACCAAUGAUACAGAAAAGCCCAAAGGACCUGGAAUCAGGCGGCCCCCAGAAUACAGCAGGCGAUUAUGAAGCGGCAUCACUGUAAUCAUACAACUUUAGACCUGCAAUCCAAUAACAAAAAUACUGGGGACUGAUACUGCUUCAAUGCAGUGUACUGGAACAUGAAAUUAUUGGAUUUGUGUCUGCUGUUCUUAACAUUCUGCUAUCGAGACUUAGUGUAAUGUAGUGCAGUGGUCGUGCCAAAGGAGCUGGGCUAGCUGUGGCCUUCAGCAAGGCUCUUCACAUAAAGUUGCUCAAGGAACAAUGGCCUUUGUAAUAUACUUGUCAUAUCUUUGGAUAGAAGUAUCUACUAAAUUAAUAAAUAUGACGCAUUCUCACCAAUAUGCCUCUUUUCUUGUGUUUAAAUAUUUUAUUGCCAAUACAGUAUACAGUAUGUCCAGUUUAAUUAUGAAGAAAUAAAACAAUAUGCUGGAGAUUACUGAAUUGCAAAUGGGAAAUUACUGAAUCCCGAAUAAUCUUUAGGAAAAAUGAGCACACAUGUAAUAAUGA